rnacentral:rRNA from 1 species
AACGAACGCUGGCGGCAGGCUUAACACAUGCAAGUCGAGCGCCCCGCAAGGGGAGCGGCAGACGGGUGAGUAACGCGUGGGAAUCUACCCAUCUCUACAGAAUAACGCAUGGAAACGUGUGCUAAUACCGUAUACGUCCUUCGGGAGAAAGAUUUAUCGGAGAUGGAUGAGCCCGCGCUGGAUUAGUUAGUUGGUGGGGUAAAGGCCUACCAAGGCGACGAUCCAUAGCUGGUCUGAGAGGAUGAUCAGCCACACUGGGACUGCGACACGGCCCAGACUCCUACGGGAGGCAGCAGUGGGGAAUAUUGGACAAUGGGCGCAAGCCUGAUCCAGCCAUGCCGCGUGAGUGAUGAAGGCCCUAGGGUUGUAAAGCUCUUUCACCGGUGAAGAUAAUGACGGUAACCGGAGAAGAAGCCCCGGCUAACUUCGUGCCAGCCGCCGCCGUAACAC